GCCAGGCACCGUGGUGCAUGCCUGUAAUCCCAGUGACUUGGGAGGCUGAGGCAGGAGGAUUGAGAAUUCAAACCCAGCCUCAG
rnacentral:sRNA from 1 species